CUAAAAUACUUAGAUAAAAUAAAUGCCGCGUACAAAACUAGACAAUAAUAAAUAUGGAAAUUUGUGUGUAUUAUCUAUAAUUAAGUGUAUACACUAGUGAUGGGCAUUUUUGAAUAUUUUAAACUAUUGAAUAACUAUUCGAAUUGUUUUUAUACAACCGAAUAGUGUUUUUUUAGCAUAAACUAUCGAAUAGUAUUAAAAAAUAUUCGAUUAGUUCUAUCUAAAAUUUUUAUUAAGUACACUUAAUUAUAAUAAGAAGAUAAUUAACGAAUACUUAAAAUAAAUUAUUAUACUAUUAUAGUAAAAAGUACCAUUUUAUUUAUUUUUAGUUUGUGAUUCGUUGGUAAAAACUGAUAAAUAUGGGUCGAAAAUUAAAAAGCAGUUCUUUUUUUCGAUGACUAAUGAUAUAUUUUCAGUUUUAUCGGAAGUUUGUUCUAUGCACAACAGAAGUAUUCGUAAAUACUAAAGUCUUAUUUUACACUUAAUACCUUAAUACUGUUCUUAGUCUAGAAUUACCUGCUCUUUUGUCUUAUAAAGGCAUAACACCGAUAAAGAGGACAGCGCGUUUUAAAUUUUUACUUUUGUAAAAGUGGCGGCAACAAUAAAUACUGCCCCUCUUUAAAAAUUAUAUUAACUAUUUUUAUUAGUCGGUUAAUCAUUGAACAUUUUAACAGUGUUGUUGUACCAAACAGUUUAGUGUAAAAUUUAUUUUCUCUAUAAAAUGCACAAAAAAAAUAGAUCGAACGUAUGGAAUUUUUUAAAUAAGGAUACCAACUUUCCUAAUCAAGUUAUAUGUAAAUUUAAAAUAAAAUAUGCUAAUAAUACAUCAAAUGUUUGGGAUCAUUUACGCCGAAAACAUACUACGGCGUUGGAAGCAAAUAGAUUAUCGUCUCAAAAUGAAGAACGGUAUGAAAUCAAUGUUUCUAACGACAGUCAUCGCCCUCAACAAGUUCUUUAACUACGAAUUUAAAUAUACGUGAACAAAUAACUAAACAAACCCAAGGAACUCAACAAAGAAGACCAAAACAAUUAAUACUAACAAAUAGGUUCAGCUUACCAUCAGAAAGCAAAGUUGAUGAAUUUAAUAAAACUGUUGUCGAAAUGAUUGCAGAAGACAUGCAACCGUUAUCGACUGUAGAAAAUAGUGGAUUUAAAAAACUAAUUAAUCUUCUCGAUUCGCGAUACAAGUGCCAAGCAGGAAAAUUAUAGCAACAACACUCAUACCUAAUCUUUAUAACUCUACACGUGAAAUGGU